rnacentral:lncRNA from 1 species
UGCUGGAGGAAUCUUGAGGACACUGUGGAAGGUCGAACAUCGGAGGAGUCUAGGAUUCAAUAUUCAAUUCUGCUGUGGAAGUUCGGAUGGAGUCCGACUUUUGUAGGAGUCUGAAAGGAGUCUGCUUAUUGUAGAAGCUCGGACGAAGACCGGUUGUCAUAGAAGCUCGGAUGGAGACUUUUUAUUGUAGAAGUCCUGUUGC